rnacentral:rRNA from 1 species
AUUACCCAAUCACGACACGUGGAGGUAGUGACAAGAAAUAACAAAGCAAGCCAGUAUUCUGGUUUUGCUAUUGGAAUGAGUAGAAUUUAAAUCUCUUUACGACUAUCAAUUGGGGGGCAAGUCUGGUGCCAGCAGCCGCGGUAAUUCCAGCUCCAAUAGCGUAUAUUAAAGUUGUUGCGGUUAAAAAGCUCGUAGUUGGAUUUCUGUUGAGGACGGCCGGUCCGCACUAUGUGCGUGUAUCUGGUUCGGCCUCGGCAUCCUCUUGAGGAACGUUUCUGCGCUUGAUUGCGUGGAGCGGUAUUCAAGACUUUUACUUUGAGGAAAUUAGAGUGUUCACGGCAGGCAAGCGCCUUGAAUAUGUUAGCAUGGAAUAAUAAUAUAGGAUCUUGGUUCUAUUUGUUGGUUUCUAGGGCUAAGGUAAUGAUUAAUAGGGAUAAUUGGGGGCAUUUGUAUUAACGCGUCAGAGGUGGAAUUCUUGGAUUGCGUUACGACAAACUACUGCGAAAGCAUUUGCCAAGGAUGUUUUCAUUGAUCAAGAACGAAAGUAUGGGGAUCGAAGAUGAUUAGAUACCGUCGUAGUCUAUACCAUAAACUAUGCCGACUAGGGAUUGGAGGUCGUUCUUUUUAUGACUCCUUCAGCACCUUAUGAGAAGUCAAAGUCUUUGGGUUCCGGGGGGAGUAUAGUCGCAAGGCUGAAACUUAAAGGAAUUGACGGAAGGGCACCACCAGGAGUGGAGCCUGCGGCUUAAUUUGACUCAACACGGGGGAAAC